UGGGGAAUUUUGGACAAUGGGCGAAAGCCUGAUCCAGCAAUGCCGCGUGAGUGAAGAAGGCCUUCGGGUUGUAAAGCUCUUUUGUCAGGGAAGAAACGGUGAGGGCUAAUAUCCCUUGCUAAUGACGGUACCUGGAGAAUAAGCACCGGCUAACUACGUGCCAGCAGCCGCGGUAAUACGUAGGGUGCAAGCGUUAAUCGGAAUUACUGGGCGUAAAGCGUGCGCAGGCGGUUUUGUAAGUCUGAUGUGAAAUCCCCGGGCUCAACCUGGGAGUUGCAUUGGAGACUGCAAGGCUAGAAUCUGGCAGAGGGGGGUAGAAUUCCACGUGUAGCAGUGAAAUGCGUAGAUAUGUGGAGGAACACCGAUGGCGAAGGCAGCCCCCUGGGUCAAGAUUGACGCUCAUGCACGAAAGCGUGGGGAGCAAACA
rnacentral:rRNA from 1 species